rnacentral:tRNA from 1 species
GUGAGUGUGGCUUAGUGGUAGAGUACUUGCCUAGCACGCAUGAAGCCCUGGGUUCAAUUCCUCAGCACCAUA